GGUGAGGUUUUUACUUUCGGGGUUUUAAAUGGUUAGAAGCCUCAGGAAGUUUGCUUCUCCAAGGCCAGCCUUGGAAUGAAAACAGUUGGGGAACUAAAUCCCUUCAAACCAAGUUUGGUACCUUUAGUCAAGGCUGAGCAGGAGAAACAAAGAAUCUCAGAAAGAUCUCACAGCAAGUGUCUGCCCCAAACCCUCUCUGAAUAAGUGUCUUCCCUGUAACAUUCCCCACUAUCCAAUUUCUGAUGGAAGAGCUCCAGUGAAUAGGAACUCGGGGAUAAUGAGAUAUGGUCAGAAAAAUGUUGGACUUGGAGCAACACGUUCUUUUUAGUUUUUGAUUCUUGGCCAUAAAACUUACUGGCUGUGCUAUCAGGGGGAAGUCAUUUCAUAUUUGCAAGCUUCAAUUUCCCCAUCUAGAAAAAUGAGGCUCAUUGAUCAAAUCGUCCAGGCUUCUUCUGGGAGUUCUGAGUUCAAGUUGGAAGCUAGUGAAAAAUCUGCUGACUGGACCCGAGACCCUGUUCCUGGUGAACCUGUGAAUUUCAGAAGGCAUGAAGGUCUAUGGUUUCCAGCAUCUGGCACAGUAUCCUUGGGCAAAGAUGAUCAGUGGCAUGCACUAGAAUGUCAGCAGCAAUUGACAAGGAAAACUUCUGUAAAAAGAAUGAAGAUAAAACUUGGCUUUUGAUCAAGCAAUGAUCUCUACAGUCAGGAAAUAUAAAAUGCCCAAUGAGUAAUUUACAACAAUUUGAUGUUUUGAUGUGGUCCAAUUCAUCUGUCCCCCAGACAUAUGUGUUGUUCUUGCUCUUCAGAUGUAUCUGUUUCUUCAUGACCCCAUUUGUGGUUCUCUUGGCAAAGAUACUAAGUGGUUUGCCUUUCUCCUCUAGCUCAUUUGACAGAUGAGGAAACUGGGGCAAACAGGGUUUAAUGACUUGCCUAGGGUCCCACAGCUAGUAAGUGUCUGAGGUCAGAUUUGAACUCAGGAAGAUCAGUCUUCCUGACUCAUUUCAGAACUCUAUCCACUAUUUCACCUAGCCACCCUCCAAUCCAGCUGUAUAUAUACAUAU
rnacentral:lncRNA from 1 species